rnacentral:rRNA from 1 species
AUUGAACGCUGGCGGCAUGCCUUACACAUGCAAGUCGAACGCGAAAGGGGGCAACCCCGAGUAGAGUGGCGAACGGGUGAGCAAUACAUCGGAACACUUCCUGUAGCGGGGGACAACCACGAGAAAUCGGGGCUAAUACCGCAUACGAUCUACGGAUGAAAGUGGGGGACCGCAAGGCCUCACACUAUAGGAGUGGCCGAUGCCGGAUUAGCUAGUUGGCGGGGUAAAAGCCCACCAAGGCGGCGAUCCGUAGCUGGUUUGAGAGAACGACCAGCCACACUGGGACUGAGACACGGCCCAGACUCCUACGGGAGGCAGCAGUGGGGAAUUUUGGACAAUGGGCGAAAGCCUGAUCCAGCCAUGCCGCGUGAGUGAAGAAGGCCUUCGGGUUGUAAAGCUCUUUCGGCGGGGACGAAAUGGCGCGGGCGAAUAUCCCGCGUCGAUGACGGUACCCGAAGAAGAAGGACCGGCUAACUACGUGC